AACAACCGUCUCAAUGGGGACCUCCCAGCGUGCUGGUGCAACCUCCAGGCUAUGUGGUUUAUGGACCUGUCCAACAACAUGCUCACUGGCAAGCUCCCAGACUGCUGGUGGAAUCUACAAGCUCUUCAAGUCAUGGACCUGUUCAACAACUCAUUCUCAGGUAUAAUCCCCGCACCUGUGGCAAGCCACAACUGCUCUCUUAGGUCUCUUUACCUCGCCGGAAAUGGCUUCGUUGGUGUCUUUCCGCCGGUUCUAGAGGGCUGCAACUUGCUGACCACCCUGGACAUGGGGAACAACAUGUUCUUUGGUGUUAUCCCUCCAUGGAUCGGGAGUCAGGUCCCUUUGUUGAGAAUCCUUAGCCUCAGAUCAAACAAUUUCACUGGAGAAAUUCCUCCGGAGUUAUCAGGGCUUUCGCAACUUCAGGUGCUCGACAUGGCAGACAAUAGCUUGACUGACUCUAUUCCGGUAUCCUUAGGCAGCUUGACCUCCAUGAAGCAUCCACAAAAUCUAUCGACUACGGGACUGCUCCUGGAGUGGAAAUACAAUGAUAGAAUCGACAUAAUAUGGAAGGGCAAGGAGCAGAAAUUCCAAAGAGCGAUCGGGUUAUUAGCCGGUAUUGAUUUAUCUGAUAACUUGUUGUCUCGGUGCAUCCCUAAAGAGCUAACCAACCUUCAGGGCCUUCAGUUUCUGAACCUGUCAAGAAACCAUCUGUCAUGCAACAUUCCUGAAAAUAUUGGUAGUUUGACUUUUCUUGAAUCCCUCGAUCUAUCAUUUAAUGAACUUACAGGUGAAAUCCCUCCGAGCAUCUCAAGCUUAUUGUGGCUAACCACGUUGAAUGUCUCAACUAAUCAUCUGUCGGGCAAGAUACCCAUUGGGAGUCAAAUUCAGACCCUAACCGACCCAUCCAUUUACUCCAACAACUCCGGGCUAUGUGGAUUUCCUUUGGACAUUCUGUGUGAAAAGACUCCGCUCGCCCCGAAUGAGAGAAAUGUUGAAGAGGAGGAUCAGUGGUUGUACUACUUUGUUAUAGCUGGGAUUGUGUUUGGUUUCUGGUUGUGGUUUGGGAUGCUCUUUACAAUUAAGGCCUGGAGAUGUGCAUUUCUUUUCUUCGUCGAUGGCAUGCAAUGUAAGACUAUGAAGAAGGUCCUCUGA
rnacentral:rRNA from 1 species